GAUGAACGCUGGCGGCGUGCCUAACACAUGCAAGUCGAGCGAACGGACCGGAAGCUUGCUCUUCUGAUGUUAUCGGCGGACGGGAGAUUAACACGUGGAUAGCCUAACUAUAAGACUGGGAUAACUUCGGGAAACCGGAUCUAAUACCGGAUAAUAUUUUGAACCGCAUGGUUCAAACGUUAAAGACGGUCUUGCUGUCGCUUAUAGAUGAAUCCGCGCUGCAUUAACUAGUUGGUAAGGUAACGGCUUACCAACGCAACGAUGGUAAGCCGCCCUCAGAGCGUCAUUGGCCACACGGGAUCUGAGACUCGUCCCAGACUCCUACACGAGGCAGCAGCAGGGACUCUUACGCAAUGCGCGAGAGCGUAACAGAGCACCGCCGCGUGAGUGAUGAAGCUCUUUUGACCGUAAAGCUCUGUUAUUAGGGGAGUACUAAUGUGUAAGUACCUGUGCACAUAUUGACGGUACCUGAUGAGAAAGCCCCGGCUAACUACGUG
rnacentral:rRNA from 1 species